rnacentral:tRNA from 1 species
CGGGGCAUAGUGUAAUGGUAGCACGAGUCCCUUGGGAGGAUUUAGCCUGGGUUCGAAUCCCAGUGCCCCGA